rnacentral:lncRNA from 1 species
CAGGUCGACGAACUAGUGAGAGAGGCUGCUGCGUGCAAGAUCCGUUUCUGGCUGACGGAGCGUUCACGCGCGCCGAUAAAGAGGGUUGCGAGGUGUGGCUUCUGGUGGGUUUAGGGUUUGCUUGUGGGGUAGGAAAGGAGGAGAAUGAGCAAGGUGAAGAGGCACAGAGUUUUGAGAGAGAGAGAGAGAGAGAGAGAGAGAGAGGGGGCAGGACUUGCUCUGUUAAUUUGGGGAGAGGUUGCGUAUAAGAGUUGCAAAAAUUUCAGCGGUAAAAAAUAAAGCG